ensembl:lncRNA
GUUGGGCACGACUGAGCGACUUCCCUUUCACUUUUUACUUUCAUGCAUUGGAGAAGGAAAUGGCAAUCCACUCCAGUGUUCUUGCCUGGAGAAUCCCAGGAACGGGGGAGCCUGGUGGACUGCCGUCUAUGGGGUUCGCACAGAGUCAGACAGGACUGAAGUGACUUAGCAGCAGCAGCAGCAGAAUCAAUAUGAAGACGGUCUGCACCGAAACACUGAAGCUCUGAGCAUUUCACAGCGGUGCCACUUGUUUAAACAUGGAGCAUCUUCCUUGAGCAAAAGGACAAAACAUCCACAUUAGUUGGCUGUUUGGAAGAUGUCUUUUUGACGUCAGCACUGGAACUUCCUAAGCACUGAUGAAAGAAUGAAAUCCCUCCCUGUUCCAAGGAUGGUUCUUAUUUGUUCUCUGUCAAGUCAUGGUCCUUUCAGCAGUGAGAUUCUAAGUCCAGCUCAGAGGUAAGGCAGGCAGCUUCUUGAGAGAAGCUAUUACCUUUUGUUUGUUUCUUUCAUCACUUGACUUAGUGGUUUUUGUUUGGCUUCAGUCAAGUCCUGACAGUAUAGAAUCAGCCAUUCAGUGGGUUUUCAAAGGCACAGUUCUCGAAGGAUCCCCUAGAACCACCUGAGGCUGGCUUUAGAAAUAAACAGAGGUGAGUCGACCAUCUCACUUUCACUGAAGCAUCUAGGCCUUAGUCCUUGAAUCUAGGAAGGGAGAGGAUAGAUGUGAUUAGGAUCAGAAAAUAAGAAAUUCCGGCCCCUUUGCUCACCAGGGAGUGACCUCAGAUAUAUUACUUUAACUUCUCUUGUCUUCAGUGUUUCCACCUCACAUUGGUCUAACACUGUCAACCUUUCUCUAGUUCUGAAAAUCCAAUGCUCCUUCUGACUCUCAGACUCAUUUUGAGCUCUAAAAUAAAGUUUCUACAAUUGAUAUCUUUAUCUAAAUCAUUUUUAAAAACUAGUUUGGAAGUUGGAAAUAGAUAAUUGACAAAGUAACCUGUUACUUUUCUGUGUAUUUAGGUCCUCAAAAGCAAGUAUAUAUGCUUUUAUACACACACACACACACACACACACACACACACACACACACACACGAUGUUGGGGCUUCCCUGGUGACUCAGUGGUUAAGAAUCUACCUGCCAAUGCAGGAGAUGCAGGUUCAGUCCCUGGGUCUGAAAGAUCACCUGGAGAAGGAAAUGGCACCCCACUCCAGUAUUCUUGCCUGGGAGAUCCCAUGGACAGAGGAGCCUACAGUCCAUGGAGUUGCAAAAGAGUUGGACAAGACUUAGCAACUAAACAACAACAACAUGUAUGAUGUUACAGAAAAGCCCAAAUGAACGUUUUGGCUAACCCAAUAUAUACAGAUUGCAGCUUAGAGUUCCAAGUUGCUUUAGGAGGGGAAAAUCUUGGCUGUUCUUACUCAGGUCUUAGCUAAUACCAUCU